CCUACGGGAGGCAGCAGUAGGGAAUAUUGGACAAUGGGCGCAAGCCUGAUCCAGCCAUCCCGCGUGAAGGAUUAAGGCCCUCUGGGUUGUAAACUUCUUUUCUCUGGGAAUAAAAAGUGGAGUUCACUCCGCCUUGAAGGUACCAGAGGAAUAAGCACCGGCUAACUCCGUGCCAGCAGCCGCGGUAAUACGGAGGGUGCAAGCGUUAUCCGGAUUCACUGGGUUUAAAGGGAGCGUAGGUGGCUUUGUAAGUCAGUGGUGAAAUAUUGCGGCUUAACCGCAAAACUGCCAUUGAUACUGCUUAGCUUGAAUCACGUCGAGGUGGAUGGAAUAAUACAUGUAGCGGUGAAAUGCUUAGAUAUGUAUUAGAACACCGAUUGCGAAGGCAGUUCACUAGGCGUGUAUUGACACUGAGGCUCGAAAGCGUGGGGAUCAAACAGGAUUAGAUACCCUGGUAGUCCACGCCCUAAACGAUGUAAACUCGACAUUAGCGAUAUACUGUUAGUGUCCAAGCGAAAGCGUUAAGUUUACCACCUGGGAAGUACGACCGCAAGGUUGAAACUCAAAGGAAUUGACGG
rnacentral:rRNA from 1 species